AACGAACGCUUGCGGCGUGCUUAACACAUGCAAGUCGAACGAGAAAGGGACUUCGGUCCUGAGUAAAGUGGCGCACGGGUGAGUAACGCGUAGGUAAUCUACCUCAGUGUUCGGGACAACAUCGGGAAACUGGUGCUAAUACCGGAUACGUUUCACGGAUUGCGAGAUAAGUGAAGGAAAGAUGGCGACCCUUCGGGGGCUAUUGCACUGAGAUGAGCCUGCGUACCAUUAGCUAGUUGGCAGGGUAAGGGCCUACCAAGGCGACGAUGGUUAGCGGGUCUGAGAGGAUGAUCCGCCACACUGGCACUGGAACACGGGCCAGACUCCUACGGGAGGCAGCAGUGAGGAAUUUUGCACAAUGGGGGAAACUCUGAUGCAGCGACGCCGCGUGAGUGACGAAGGUCUUCGGAUCGUAAAGCUCUGUCAGUAGGGAAGAAACGUUUGGUGGCUAAUAUCCAUUGAAUUUGACGGUACCUACAAAGGAAGCACCGGCUAACUCCGUGCCAGCCGCCGCAGUAAAAC
rnacentral:rRNA from 1 species